CGUUCCCGGGCCUUGUACACACCGCCCGUCACACCAUGGGAGUCAGUUGCUCCAGAAACGGGUUACCUAACCGCAAGGGGGGUGCUCUUUAAGGAGUGGCUGGUAACUGGGGUG
rnacentral:rRNA from 1 species